rnacentral:rRNA from 1 species
GUGGGGAAUUUUGGACAAUGGGCGCAAGCCUGAUCCAGCAAUGCCGCGUGCAGGAAGAAGGCCUUCGGGUUGUAAACUGCUUUUGUACGGAACGAAACGGUCCUGGUUAAUACCUGGGGCUAAUGACGGUACCGUAAGAAUAAGCACCGGCUAACUACGUGCCAGCAGCCGCGGUAAUACGUAGGGUGCGAGCGUUAAUCGGAAUUACUGGGCGUAAAGCGUGCGCAGGCGGUGCUGUAAGACAGGCGUGAAAUCCCCGGGCUCAACCUGGGAAUUGCGCUUGUGACUGCAAGGCUGGAGUGCGGCAGAGGGGGAUGGAAUUCCGCGUGUAGCAGUGAAAUGCGUAGAUAUGCGGAGGAACACCGAUGGCGAAGGCAAUCCCCUGGGCCUGCACUGACGCUCAUGCACGAAAGCGUGGGGAGCAAACAGGAUUAGAUACCCGAGUAGUCC